GUCGCGCGGUCAGCAAUGGCAGCGGCGGACGGGUGCGUAACGCGUAGGAACGUGUCUUGAGGUGGGGGACAACCCUGGGAAACUGGGGCUAAUACCGCAUAUGGGCUGAGGCCCAAAGCCGUGAGGCGCCUUAGGAGCGGCCUGCGUCCGAUUAGCUAGUUGGUGGGGUAAAGGCCUACCAAGGCUCCGAUCGGUAGCUGGUCUGAGAGGACGAUCAGCCACACUGGGACUGAGACACGGCCCAGACUCCUACGGGAGGCAGCAGUGGGGAAUAUUGGACAAUGGGCGCAAGCCUGAUCCAGCAAUGCCGCGUGGGUGAAGAAGGUCUUCGGAUCGUAAAGCCCUUUCGACAGGGACGAUGAUGACGGUACCUGUAGAAGAAGCCCCGGCUAACUUCGUGCCAGCAGCCGCGGUAAUACGAAGGGGGCUAGCGUUGCUCGGAAUUACUGGGCGUAAAGGGCGCGUAGGCGGCUUAGUCAGUCAGGCGUGAAANUUCCUGGGCUUANNNNGNGGUCUGCGUUUGAGACGGCUGANCUAGAGGGUAGGAGAGGGUCGUGGAAUUCCCAGUGUAGAGGUGAAAUUCGUAGAUAUUGNGAANAAC
rnacentral:rRNA from 1 species